GACAGAGGGUGCAAACGUUGUUCGGAAUUACUGGGCGUAAAGGGCGCGUAGGCGGCCUAGCAAGUCACUUGUGAAAUCUCCGGGCUUAACUCGGAACUGCCAAGUGAAACUGCCAGGCUAGAGUGCAGAAGGGGCAAUCGGAAUUCUUGGUGUAGCGGUGAAAUGCGUAGAUAUCAAGAGGAACACCGGUGGCGAAGGCGGCGUCCUGGACCAACACUGACACUGAUGAGCGAAAGCCAGGGGAGCAAACGGG
rnacentral:rRNA from 1 species